UAUGAGAUUAUUAUAGAACGAACCUGCCAUACAAAAUGAUGCAGAGACUAACCCGGAAGAAAAGGCCACCUAAGAUGUGAAUUUUCUGUUAUUUGAUUCAACUCUUCGGCAUGGCUCUUGAGGUUUGAAUCGGCUAUGGCAGGCAAGUGAGCAGAAAAAUGAUGCAGAGACUAACCCGGAAGAAAAGGCCAGCUAAGAUGUGAAUUUGCUGUUAUUUGAUUCAACUCUUCGGCAUGGCUCUUGAGGUUUGAAUCAGCCAAUGGCAGGCAAGUGAGCAAGCUGAUAUUGCUGUUGUAGAUAGCUUGAUGCCCUUAUCAACAUUCUUUUUCCAUGAAUCUGAAUCUUUCUGUCGAACAACAUUGAUAAGAAUGCACAUUGAAGUAAUACAGUACUGCAUGUUAUAAAGGAAAUUA
rnacentral:lncRNA from 1 species